AUACUUACCUGGGUCGUGCAUCUGGUAUCAAGAAUCCCGGAUGUACAGCAGGGCCGAUUGUCAUUGCACAGCGACGGUUAGCCUUGCUGCGAACAUCUUCGGAUGUCUCGAGGCCAUAAUUUUUGCUUAGGGGGAGUUGGUGGUUCGCCGCUGGCUCCCCU
rfam:Choanephora cucurbitarum strain KTS-F28377 scaffold_56, whole genome shotgun sequence.